AAACCCAAUUGUAAUGAAGGGAAUUAAAAGAAAAUUAAAGAAAAUAAUGCAUAGUGAUUAUGCUUAUAAAAGACAGUAGCUUUCUAAAACUUCACCUUCUCUCUCCACAAAUUCGUCAUAUUCCCCUCAGCUUUUUUAUUUCUCUUCCUCAGCGGUCAGGGGCGGUGGCCGCCGGCCAGCAACCACCCUUCGAAACACAGAAACCCAAACACCAGCCCCAGCUUAUUUUAAUCCUUGAACACGGAUUUACACCUAUCCUCCUCUAAUUCCCUACCCGUUGUCUAGAUCGAAACCUCAAACUCUAACUUUGUUAAACUUACAAUUUAUCUUCACGACAACAAAACAGAACAAUAUUCGAUACCUAAAUAGGAAGAGUUAUGCUAAAGAGUUUAUAUGGGAAUCAACAAGUCAAAGCUCCACUUGCGUAUAUGUAUACGAAGCGAAGAUUGAUUUCAAACAACAACCUAUUAUGCUCAUGCGCUUGAUUCAAAGGCCAGGAAGAAGAAAAUACCGGUCGGGGAUUUACCAAGAGGGUCUGUUUUAAGGAUUUAGCUCGAUUAACCCAAGGCUUCAAUGAAGAGCUCUGUACUACCCUUCAUAUCUUUAAGUUGGGAAGGAAUCUACAAAGUAAUGAUAGCGUCUCCCUUGAUUUGUUGCGAUCGGGGCGUACUCUUACUUGUCGACACGAGCUUGUUGGAUUUCGCGCAAAGUAACGGUUAAGGAAUCCCCAUCUAGCCUUCAAUGGUUCAAUGCUCCCUUUUAUAAAGUCCAAUACAAGGUUCAAUCUGCUCCUCUUUCAUGAGCUGGAAAAUCUUUGGAUGAAUCAAUCCGUUAUCCAAAAGAAUCUCAUCCAGAUUUGGUGGUCCUCCCUUUCGACGUGGUCCCCAAAAUGAAGGUUUUGGUUAACUGAUGUGAAGAGGAGAAGUGACCACUGAUGUUCUGCAGGAUAUUGCCAUGAAUUCACACAUUGAUGUUGUGUUUUCUGUCCUGUCAACUGAUAUGACAGAGAGGCUUCUAUUCAUAAUUCCAAGAGUUUGUAAUUUCUCCUAGUUACCUUGGCAAUGUGAUGCUAUUGUGCUUGUAACGAGUUGUUGCGCCACUUAUGUUGGUCUGAUGGAUAAAAGUGCCUCCAGGAUAAUGUCAUGGAUACUGAGGUGAAUGGUUGAUGAAGAGUGCGCACCAACUUGGUUGUGAUUGAAUGGUAACCUCAUGGUCUUUGGAUGCCCAUAUCCAAUCCCUGCAGGUGUCAACUGUGCAGUCCAAGCUCCUGACUAUGCUGCCUUGACAUAUGUUGCGAAAGAGGUCGUGGGUUUUUACACUAACAACUUCGAUUUCGUUGGUUGUUUUGCUCAGGUUCUAUAUUCAGAGUUGAUGGUAAUAAUCUCAUGUAUUCAUCUAUGUUUUAUCUGGGGGCACAUGGAUUCUUAUUCGCCUUACCGACACGGCACUGUUGGCUCUUGGAUCUGCAAGUCAUCUCAUGGUGCGAGAGGGUACUCUUAUAAUGUCUUUGGAGACCAAUGCAGGAAGAGGUCGGGGCGAUCUGUCAUGGAAAAUUGAUGUGUAGUCUUAGUUUUAGAAAUUUAUUUCUUGUAUUUGGCUUGUUUGUAAUGUCAUUUAGAAACUAGGACUGCUUAUGAUCGACUGUAUGAUGUGUUUCCAAUAAUGACACUUGAAACAAAUAUGUUUGUUACACCCAGAA